rnacentral:rRNA from 1 species
AUUGAACGCUGGCGGCAGGCCUAACACAUGCAAGUCGAGCGGUUGACGGGAGCUUGCUCCCUGAUUCAGCGGCGGACGGGUGAGUAAUGCCUAGGAAUCUGCCUAUUAGUGGGGGACAACGUUUCGAAAGGAACGCUAAUACCGCAUACGUCCUACGGGAGAAAGCAGGGGACCUUCGGGCCUUGCGCUAAUAGAUGAGCCUAGGUCGGAUUAGCUUGUUGGUGAGGUAAUGGCUCACCAAGGCGACGAUCCGUAACUGGUCUGAGAGGAUGAUCAGUCACACUGGAACUGGGACACGGUCCAGACUCCUACGGGAGUCAGCAGUGGGGAAUAUUGGACAAUGGGCGAAAGCCUGAUCCAGCCAUGCCGCGUGUGUGAAGAAGGUCUUCGGAUUGUAAAGCACUUUAAGUUGGGAGGAAGGGUUGUAGAUUAAUACUCUGCAAUUUUGACGUUACCGACAGAAUAAGCACCGGCUAACUCUGUGCCAGCAGCCGCAGUAA